rnacentral:tRNA from 2 species
GCAGUCGUGGCCGAGUGGUUAAGGCGAUGCACUAGAAAUCCAUUGGGGUCUCCCCGCACAGGUUCGAAUCCUGUAGACUGCG